rnacentral:ncRNA from 12 species
CCACAGCCAGGUUGGCCCUUCGGGGGAUGCCUGGACGCUGAUAAGCCAGUAGUGCAGCGCUACGGGAAAAUACCGGCAGCC